rnacentral:rRNA from 1 species
CUACGGGAGGCAGCAGUGGGGAAUAUUGGACAAUGGGCGAAAGCCUGAUCCAGCGACGCCGCGUGGGUGAAGAAGGCCUGCGGGUUGUAAAGCCCUUUCGUUGGGGAAGAAAAGUGUCGACCUAACACGUCGGCACCUUGACGUUACCCAAAGAAGAAGCACCGGCUAACUCUGUGCUAGCAGCCGCGGUAAUACAGAGGGUGCGAGCGUUAAUCGGAAUUACUGGGCGUAAAGCGCACGUAGAUGGCUUCGUAAGUCGGAUGUGAAAUCCCCGGGCUCAACCUGGGAACUGCAUUCGAAACUGCGUUGCUCGAGUGUGGAAGAGGGAAGCGGAAUUCCAGGUGUAGCGGUGAAAUGCGUAGAUAUCUGGAGGAACAUCAGUGGCGAAAGCGGCUUCCUGGUCCAACACUGACAUUCAGGUGCGAAAGCGUGGGGAGCAAACAGGAUUAGAAACCCGUGUAGUCC